UGCGUAGGCGGAAUAUGAAGUCAGUGGUGAAAUCCUGCGGCUCAACCGUAGAACUGCCAUUGAUACUGAUAUUCUUGAAUGUAGUUGAGGUAGGCGGAAUGUGUAAUGUAGCGGUGAAAUGCUUAGAUAUUACACAGAACACCGAUUGCGAAGGCAGCUUACUAAACUAUGAUUGACGCUGAGGCACGAAAGCGUGGGGAGCGAACAGGAUUAGAUACCCUGGUAGUCC
rnacentral:rRNA from 1 species